GACGAACGCUGGCGGCGUGCUUAACACAUGCAAGUCGAGCGGUAAGGCCCUUUCGGGGGUACACGAGCGGCGAACGGGUGAGUAACACGUGGGUGACCUCCCUUUAGCUCUGGGAUAAGCCUGGGAAACUGGGUCUAAUACCGGAUACGACUCCGCGGUGCAUGCUGUGGGGUGGAAAGCCUUGUGCGGCUGGAGAUGGGCCCGCGGCCUAUCAGCUUGUUGGUGGGGUGAUGGCCUACCAAGGCGACGACGGGUAGCCGGCCUGAGAGGGCGACCGGCCACACUGGGACUGAGACACGGCCCAGACUCCUACGGGAGGCAGC
rnacentral:rRNA from 1 species